UCACAGCUAGCUUUGAUGAGCU
rnacentral:miRNA from 1 species